rnacentral:rRNA from 1 species
GUGAUCGAAAGAUGAAAAGCACUUGAAAGAGGGUUAAAAAGUACGUGAAAUUGUGAAAGGGAAGCGCCCAUGACCAGACUUGGGCCCGGUGAAUCAUCCGGCGUUCUCGCCCGGUGCACUUUGCCGGGCACAGGCCAGCAUCAGUCUGGCGCGGGGGAUAAAGGCUUCGGGAAUGUGGCUCCCUCGGGAGUGUUAUAGCCCGUUGCGCAAUACCCUGCGCCGGACUGAGGUACGCGCAUCGCAAGGAUGCUGGCGUAAUGGUCAUCAGCGACCCGUCUUGAAACACGGACCAAGGAGUCGUCUUCGUAUGCGAGUGUUCGGGUGUCAAACCCCUACGCGGAAUGAAAGUGAACGCAGGUGAGAGCUUCGGCGCAUCAUCGACCGAUCCUGAUGUUCUCGGAUGGAUUUGAGUAAGAGCAUACGGGGCCGGACCCGAAAGAAGGUGAACUAUGCCUGUAUAGGGUGAAGCCAGAGGAAACUCUGGUGGAAGCUCGCAGCGGUUCUGACGUGCGAAUCGAUCGUCAAAUAUGGGCAUGGGGGCGAAAGACUAAUCGAACCUUCUAGUAGCUGGUUUCCGCCGAAGUUUCCCUCAGGAUAGCAGUGUUGGACUCAGUUUUAUGAGGUAAAGCGAAUGAUUAGGGACUCGGGGGCGCUAUAUUGCCUUCAUCCAUUCUCAAACUUUAAAUAUGUAAGAAGCCCUUGUUACUUAACUGAACGUGGGCCUUCGAAUGUAGCAACACUAGUGGGCCAUUUUUGGUAAGCAGAACUGGCGAUGCGGGAUGAACCGAACGCGAGGUUAAGGUGCCGGAGUGGACGCUCAUCAGACACCACAAAAGGUGUUAGUACAUCUUGACAGCAGGACGGUGGCCAUGGAAGUCGGAAUCCGCUAAGGACUGUGUAACAACUCACCUGCCGAAUGUACUAGCCCUGAAAAUGGAUGGCGCUCAAGCGUCCCACCCAUACCUCGCCCUCAGGGUAGGAACGAUGCCCUGAGGAGUAGGCGGACGUGGAGGUCAGUGACGAAGCCUAGGGCGGAGCCCGUCGAUUAAU